rnacentral:rRNA from 1 species
CGGGGUGAGUAACGCGUGGAGAACCUGCCGUAUACUGGGGGAUAACACUUAGAAAUAGGUGCUAAUACCGCAUAAGCGCACAGCUUCGCAUGAAGCAGUGUGAAAAACUCCGGUGGUAUACGAUGGAUCCGCGUCUGAUUAGCUGUUGGCGGGGUAAAGGCCCACCAAGGCGACGAUCAGUAGCCGGCCUGAGAGGGUGAACGGCCACAUUGGGACUGAGACACGGCCCAAACUCCUACGGAAGGCAGCAG